rnacentral:rRNA from 1 species
CCUACGGGUGGCAGCAGUAGGGAAUCUUUCACAAUGGGCGAAAGCCUGAUGGAGCAACGCCGCGUGCAGGAUGAAGGCCUUCGGGUUGUAAACUGCUUUUAUAAGCGAGAAAUAUGAUGGUAACUUAUGAAUAUGGAUCGGCUAACUACGUUCCAGCAGCCGCGGUCAUACGUAGGAUCCGAGCAUUAUCCGGAGUGACUGGGUGUAAAGAGUUGCGUAGGUGGCAUAAUAAGUAGCUAGUGAAAUCUGGUGGCUCAACCAUUCAGACUAUUAGCUAAACUGUUAAGCUCGAGACCGUUAGGGGUAACUGGAAUUUCUAGUGUAGGAGUGAAAUCCGUAGAUAUUAGAAGGAACACCGAUAGCGUAGGCAGGUUGCUGGGACGGUUCUGACACUAAGGCACGAAAGCGUAGGGAGCAAACGGGAUUAGAUACCCCAGUAGUC